AUGAUCUGCACACCUGUCCUGCUCCCCAUCUUGCUCUACACAGGCUCUGUGGUCUCCUAUGAGCUGACUCARCCAYCCUCAGUYUCAGUAGCCCURGGACAGACAGCCAYGAUCACCUGCUCUGGAGAUGCACUGCCAAAAAAAUAUGCAYACUGGUUCCAGCARCAGCACCCAGGACAGACCCCUGUGMRKGUAAUAUAYRAAGAUAGURMACGACCCUCAGGGAUCCCAGAGAGAUUCUCUGGAUCCAGCUCAGGGACAACAGCCACCCUGACCAUCAGCAGAACUCAGACUGAGGAUGAGGCUGUCUAUUACUGCUUGUCAGGAAACAGUGAUGGUACUCAGACCACAGUGACACAGGCAGAUAGGGAACUGAGACACAAACCCCUACCCUGA